GACGAACGCUGGCGGCGUGCGUAAUACAUGCAAGUAGAACGCUGAAGAGAGGAGCUUGCUCUUCUUGGAUGAGUUGCGAACGGGUGAGUAACGCGUAGGUAACCUGCCUUGUAGCGGGGGAUAACUAUUGGAAACGAUAGCUAAUACCGCAUAACAAUGGGUGACACAUGUCAUUUAUUUGAAAGGGGCAAUUGCUCCACUACAAGAUGGACCUGCGUUGUAUUAGCUAGUAGGUGAGGUAACGGCUCACCUAGGCGACGAUACAUAGCCGACCUGAGAGGGUGAUCGGCCACACUGGGACUGAGACACGGCCCAGACUCCUACGGGAGGCAGCAGUAGGGAAUCUUCGGCAAUGGGGGCAACCCUGACCGAGCAACGCCGCGUGAGUGAAGAAGGUUUUCGGAUCGUAAAGCUCUGUUGUAAGUCAAGAACGAGUGUGAGAGUGGAAAGUUCACACUGUGACGGUAGCUUACCAGAAAGGGGCGGCUAACUACGUGCCAGCAGCCGCGGUAAUACGUAGGUCCCGAGCGUUGUCCGGAUUUAUUGGGCGUAAAGCGAGCGCAGGCGGUUUGAUAAGUCUGAAGUUAAAGGCUGUGGCUCAACCAUAGUUCGCUUUGGAAACUGUCAAACUUGAGUGCAGAAGGGGAGAGUGGAAUUCCAUGUGUAGCGGUGAAAUGCGUAGAUAUAUGGAGGAACACCGGUGGCGAAAGCGGCUCUCUGGUCUGUAACUGACGCUGAGGCUCGAAAGCGUGGGGAGCGAACAGG
rnacentral:rRNA from 1 species